GAUGAACGCUGGCGGCGUGCCUAAUACAUGCAAGUCGAGCGAACGGACGAGAAGCUUGCUUCUCUGAUGUUAGCGGCGGACGGGUGAGUAACACGUGGAUAACCUACCUAUAAGACUGGGAUAACUUCGGGAAACCGGAGCUAAUACCGGAUAAUAUUAUGAACCGCAUGGUUCAAAAGUGAAAGACGGUCUUGCUGUCACUUAUAGAUGGAUCCGCGCUGCAUUAGCUAGUUGGUAAGGUAACGGCUUACCAAGGCAACGAUGCAUAGCCGACCUGAGAGGGUGAUCGGCCACACUGGAACUGAGACACGGUACAGACUCCUACGGGAGGCAGCAGUAGGGAAUCUUCCGCAAUGGGGGAAAGCCUGACGGAGCAACGCCGCGUGAGUGAUGAAGGUCUUCGGAUCGUAAAAAUCUGUUAUUAGGGAAGAACAUAUGUGUAAGUAACUGUGCACAUCUUGACGGUACCUAAUCAGAAAGCCACGGCUAACUACGUG
rnacentral:rRNA from 1 species